CCACAAAGAAUAAAUCAGUUUCCUAUCAUAUGGCUUUUAAACUGUUUAAUCAAGUUUGAGAACCCCUGACACAGGGUACAGUAGCUACAGAAAUGAACCAAAAAAUGAAAAAACAAGUCACUUAAACAAGUAGUCACUUAAUGGGGUUGUGGGCCACUGCCAUUUUCUAUGUGACUGGCUGAUCUUAUCCCUCAUUGAAAUCGAUGCUGCAGUGAUCACCAGUUGCUCCCGUGUUUUGCCUUGAAUGUUAAAUGGACAUCUUGGUCCCAAAGAAUGCACUUCUGCUGGCUGUUGUUGUUUGUGUCGUCCCUCAAGAAUUCUAUGCCGACACCAUCAGAACAUUGCUUACACAUGUUAAAUAUUUCAGUCCUCUUAGUUGCUAAAACAAAAUCUCACCAACACCAACACCAACACCACGCUGUGAAACAUGCAAAGCUAUCUUGAAAAUUAAAAAACAUAUUCCUAUGCAGAUGAAUCUGAUUUCAUAGGGACUACAUUUACAGGGUGCUAUAGAAAUGGUUUAAAACCAGAAAUUAGAAUUUAUAUAUGUAGUUUCAAAGUCUACCUGAAUUAUUUAAUGCACUUUAUUCACGGCUAAGCACACCCAGACAGGAAGUGAGUAGUGAACUGUAGUUCUGUUUCCCCCCCUUUAAAAAGAGUGGCAUUGAGUCUGUCUUUCAGUGUGCAGAGAAUGGAACUCAAACUUUUGUUGCCGUUACUUUUCAACCUGGCCUGUGUCCAGUGUCAGUCUCAACAGAAGGUCUCUCAGUGGCCCUCACAGACGGUCCUGACCCAGGGCUCCUCUGUGGAGCUCCAGUGCAGUCAGAGCGGCUCUGAUACCUACAUGUACUGGUACCGCCAGCAGAGCUCUACAGGGCUACAGCUCGUCAUAUUUUAUGCCUACCUGAGUGAGCCGGAGAGGGGAAAGGAGAUCAGCGGUAGAUUUACCAGCACCAGACCAAAGCUAGAAACCAUCACACUCGGUAUCAGUCAGGCUGAGGAGAGAGACACAGGUGUUUAUUUCUGUGCAGCGAGUCCCACAGCACGCAUCUCUGUCCCACCUCCUGUAUUAAAACACCACAGAUGA